rnacentral:rRNA from 1 species
GGCCCCGCACAAGCGGUGGAGCAUGUGGUUUAAUUCGAUGAUACGCGAGGAACCUUACCAGGGCUUAAAUGUUAGGUGACAGAUCUAGAAAUAGAUUUUUCCUUCGGACACUUAACAAGGUGCUGCAUGGUUGUCGUCAGCUCGUGCCGUGAGGUGUCAGGUUAAGUCCUAUAACGAGCGCAACCCCUGUUGUUAGUUGCCAGCGAGUAAUGUCGGGAACUCUAGCAAGACUGCCAGUGCAAACUGUGAGGAAGGUGGGGGAUGACGUCAAAUCAUCACGGCCCUUACGUCCUGGGCUACACACGUGCUACAAUGGCUAGGACAAAGAGAUGCGACCCUGCGAAGGCAAGCUAA